UGGGGAAUUUUGCACAAUGGGGGAAACCCUGAUGCAGCGACGCCGCGUGAUUUAGAAGGCCUUCGGGUUGUAAAAAUCUUUUCUAUGGGAAGAAAAUGACAGUACCAUAGGAAUAAGGACCGGCUAAUUACGUGCCAGCAGCCGCGGUAAUACGUAAGGUCCGAGCGUUGUCCGGAAUCAUUGGGCGUAAAGGGUACGUAGGCGGGUAAGCAAGUUAGAAGUGUAAUCCUAUAGCUCAACUAUAGUAAGCUUUUAAAACUGCUCAUCUUGAGGUAUGGAAGGGAAAGUGGAAUUCCUAGUGUAGCGGUGAAAUGCGCAGAUAUUAGGAGGAAUACCGGUGGCGAAGGCGACUUUCUGGCCAUAACCUGACGCUGAGGUACGAAAGCGUGGGUAGCAAACAGG
rnacentral:rRNA from 1 species